ACGCUCGACACCUACGUGAGGCAGCAGUGAGGAAUAUUGGUCAAUGGGCGCAGGCCUGAACCAGCCAAGUAGCGUGAAGGAUGACUGCCCUAUGGGUUGUAAACUUCUUUUAUAUGGGAAUAAAGUUUUCCACGUGUGGAAUUUUGUAUGUACCAUAUGAAUAAGGAUCGGCUAACUCCGUGCUAGCAGCCGCGGUAAUCUGAGCGGGCUGGCAAGGC
rnacentral:rRNA from 1 species